rnacentral:rRNA from 1 species
UACGUAGGGUGCGAGCGUUAAUCGGAAUUACUGGGCGUAAAGCGUGCGCAGGCGGUCUGUUAAGACCGAUGUGAAAUCCCCGGGCUUAACCUGGGAACUGCAUUGGUGACUGGCAGGCUUUGAGUGUGGCAGAGGGAGGUAGGAAUUCCACGUGUAGCAGUGAAAAUGCGUAGAGAUGUGGAGGAAUACCGAUGGCGAAGGCAGCCGU